rnacentral:lncRNA from 1 species
GAACUCAUUGGCUUCUUCAGAAGGGGAUUUGAAAAGGCAAGAAGGGAGCGUCAAAGAGGGCUUCUCUCUGCUCUUCCCCCCUCCGCACCCCACACAUCCUAUGCGGUCUUAUAUAGGGUGAAGGCUCUGUAUAGGGUCCACACCUUAUAUAGUCCACAGCCACCCCCCCCAGGCAGGGACCUCCGGGCUCCCCCACCGGGGAGGGCCAAGGGGGACCAUCAUCAGGGGAGGCCCCGGCCUUCCCUUCCCCGGCCUCACCUCGCUGGACGGGGGAGGCCCGCCGAAUCCACCGAGGGGGGGGGGAAGGCAGAAGGGGAGGCCCGGGACAGGAGAAGGCCAGAGGCUCUCUUUCUCUCUCUUCUGCCCGGCCAAAGCGGUUCUGAAGACCCAGCCGGGAGGGAGGCCUCUCCGCCUGCGGGGAGGCCCAGCUCCAGCCCUUCCUUACCGGCCACCGCUAACCAGCCCUGCCGGAGCUUCGUCCGGGCAGGGCGGGGAUGGAGAAGGGUGGGGGGUCCCUCUCUCUCGACCGGGAAAAGGUCGCCGUCAACGGCCGCCUCAGAGCCUUCGCCGCCGUCGCCCCCCUCCUUCCUCCUCAGCGAGACCCAUCGCCGGCCCCGCCUCUCGCCCCCCAGCGCCGACGCCGGACGUCAUCUUCCCGCGACGGCCGGGGAGGCCCAGGCCGGCCCCGCCCUCGCGAGCGCUUCCCCGUCACGUGACGAAGGCGGAGCCCGCGCCCUCCUGCUUCAAAAAAAACAAAUAAGAACGCCUAUCGGGAGACAGCUCGUCGGCGCCUGCGCAGAGAUGCGGCUGCCGGGAUUGGGCUGGGCGGGGAAGUUAAAGAGAGGGUUGGGGGGGGGAAACUUGGCCGCUAGUUGGGAUCAGCGCUUCCGGCUCCCAAAUGAAGCCAGUGCGAGCAAAGACAUUUCUUACGGAGAGUUGUGUUGCAUCGCAACGGAAAGGAGAGACAGAAAGAGUCUCGUGUUUUUUUUUUUUUUUAACCGGGAAUCAGGAAUAUUAUACUUCGUGGGUCUGAGGGGAAAGGCUGUAAUCCAAGAAGGCUGGUGUUAA